UACGUAGGGUGCAAGCGUUGUCCGGAAUUAUUGGGGCGUAAAGAGCUCGUAGGCGGUCUGUUGCGUCGGCUGUGAAAAUCCGGGGCUCAACUCCCGGGCCUGCAGCCGAUACGGGCAGACUAGAGUUCGGCAGGGGAGACUGGAAUUCCUGGUGUAGCGGUGAAAUGCGCAGAUAUCAGGAGGAACACCGGUGGCGAAGGGCGGGGUCUCUGGGCCGAUACUGACGCUGAGGAGCGAAAGCGUGGGGAGCAAACAGG
rnacentral:rRNA from 1 species